UACGUAGGAGACGAGCGUUGUCCGGAGUUACUGGGCGUAAAGGGUGCGCAGGCGGCCUGGCGCGUCGCGAGUGAAAUCUCCCGGCUCAACUGGGAGGGUGGUCGCGAGACGGCUAGGCUUGAGGCUCGGUGAGGGGCGUGGAAUUCCGGGUGGAGCGGUGAAAUGCGUAGAGAUCCGGAGGAACACCGACGGCGUAGGCAGCGCCCUAGACGAGACCUGACGCUCAGGCACGAAAGCGCGGUGAGCGAACAGG
rnacentral:rRNA from 1 species